rnacentral:rRNA from 1 species
AAGUCGUAACAAGGUUUCCGUAGGUGAACCUGCGGAAGGAUCAUUAUUGAAUUUUGAAAGGGGUUGUAGCUAAAUAUGUGCACGCCUCUAUCCAAUUUUCUUACACCUGUGCACUUUUUGUAGGGCCAUUCACUUGGCUCUAUGUUUUUCUAAUACACACCGCUCUGUUAUAUGAAUGGGAAUAACUUUAUUAAUAAAAUAAUAACAACUUUCAACAACGGAUCUCUUGGCUCUCGCAUCGAUGAAGAACGCAGCGAAAUGCGAUAAGUAAUGUGAAUUGCAGAAUUCAGUGAAUCAUCGAAUCUUUGAACGCACCUUGCGCUCCUUGGUAUUCCGAGGAGCAUGCCUGUUUGAGUGUCAUUAAAUUCUCAAAGUCUUUUUUCUUUUUUGAAAAGACUUUGGAUUUGGAGUGUUGCUGGCUUUAUUUGUCGGCUCCUCUUAAAUGCAUUAGCUUGUUAAUCUUUGUGGAAUAUAGGCUUUGGUUUGAUAGUAUCUAUGCCAUUGCUUGUGAAACAAAUACCAGCUUCUAAUAAACCCUUCAUUUGACAUUUUGACCUCAAAUCAGGUAGGACUACCCGCUGAACUUAAGCAUAUCAAUAAGCGGAGGAAAAGAAACUAACAAGGAUUCCCCUAGUAACUGCGAGUGAAGCGGGAAAAGCUCAAAUUUAAAAUCUGAUGGUCCUUGUGGCUGUCCGAGUUGUAAUCUAGAGAAGUGCUUUCCGCGUUGGACCGUGUACAAGUCUCUUGGAACAGAGCGUCAUAGAGGGUGAGAAUCCCGUCUUUGACACGGACUACCAGUGCUUAUGUGAUGCGCUCUCGAAGAGUCGAGUUGUUUGGGAAUGCAGCUCAAAAUGGGUGGUAAAUUCCAUCUAAAGCUAAAUAUUGGCGAGAGACCGAUAGCGAACAAGUACCGUGAGGGAAAGAUGAAAAGAACUUUGGAAAGAGAGUUAAACAGUACGUGAAAUUGUUGAAAGGGAAACGCUUGAAGUCAGUCGCGUUGGCCAGAAAUCAACCUUUUAUUUUUUUGAAGGGUGUACUUUCUGGUUUUAACGGGUCAGCAUCAAUUUUGAUUGUUGGAUAAAAUUCAAUAUUUAUGCGUUUUCGGAUGUAUAGCCUUUGAUUGCAUACAACAGUUGGGAUUGAGGAACUCAGCACGCCGCAAGGCCGGGUCUUUUUUGAUCACGUACGUGCUUAGGAUGCUGGCAUAAUGGCUUUAAUCGACC